AACAACUGGAAACUCGGAACUGGGAAAUCUGAUUUUAUUGUUUUGAAAGCGCCAUAAAUCCAGAGAAUGCCAGACUGAUGACAAAAUUUGCCCAGGAAGGACUGCCGUGCCACCGUCCUGUUCAAGUGAGCACAGCACAACAAGGACAAUGACCCAACACACCUCCAGGCUGUGUAAUGCCCCAUGUACCCAAGGCUGGAGACUUUCUUCAGCAAAGAUGGCUGACAAAAAUACUAGGAUGGAAGCAAAUCUAAGUGAAUUUAACGUCAUAACGAAUCAUGCAAGAAAUGUAUCGUUGAAAGGAAUGUUAGUUAAUGUACAGAUAAACGAUUAUGCAUUUUUAUCAAAGUUAAUUUACGAAAAUUGUGAUUUAGCAAGCUAGCUGACUAGCUAACAUUAG
rnacentral:lncRNA from 1 species